GGCCGUUUAGCGUCUUCCCGGAAGGAAGGGCGUAAUCAGUCUAAUGAGGUGCACCUGGAGCAGGUAAUCAGAGCGCACCUGGAGCAGAUACUCGGAGCGCGCACUGGAGAGCAGCAUGCCGAAAACACUGCACCUUAAACGGACUGGAGUGAGGAGAAAACUCGUGGUGCAGAAGAGAAACUGAGGAGGCAGCCGGUAACUGCUGCCCUCCCACAACCGACGCAGACCCUCCUGCUUGACCUGCAACCAGGUGAUGAUUUCAUGAAGUAUUUCAGGAGGACGUCCAGUAAAGUGAAGCAGUUGCCGGCUGCUGGUGGAGGCUAGGCACUCUGUGGUUCCCUGCACCGUCUGUAGUGGUCAGAGCACCGGACCCGAUGGCCCUGAGUUCACGAGUGGCUCUGCUGCAGAUCCACGAUGUUGUCGCCAACGAGGUCUACAGCCACGCCCCAGAAGAAAGCAGAUGAGCUCAGUGUGUAGUAACAGAGAUUUGUUAUUACGUUCUCUUCAAGUGGCAUGCAGACGAGUUUCUGUGUAACCGACGACGGAUCUACUCAGCCUUAAAGUCCAGUCACUGUCGUAAAUAAAGCUUAUAUUGUUUGUCCUACACAUUGGUGUCUCUGGAACUAGUCUGUGGAAACCUCACAGCAAUAACACAAGCAGACUAGACCUAUAAGGGUCAGUUGCUUGGGUGAACUCCAUACAAACUGUUUGGCUGAUGUGAACAUAGCAAGGAUUUCUGAGUAGCUUUACAGAAACACACACAAGGUGAAGAGACUAUACUGACGUCCUUGAGUAGACUUAGUAUCACAGAGAUGGAGAAAUGUGACUUUGAGAUGUUUUGGAAGUCUGUCUUUGUGUAAUAUGGGGAGCUAUUAUUGUUGCAUUUGUAACUGUGUACCUGCAUCCAGAAAUGCAAACAAUUAUCUCUGU